rnacentral:rRNA from 1 species
GUGGGGAAUCUUAGACAAUGGGGGAAACCCUGAUCUAGCCAUGCCGCGUGAGCGAUGAAGGCCUUAGGGUUGUAAAGCUCUUUCAGCUGGGAAGAUAAUGACGGUACCAGCAGAAGAAGCCCCGGCUAACUCCGUGCCAGCAGCCGCGGUAAUACGGAGGGGGCUAGCGUUGUUCGGAAUUACUGGGCGUAAAGCGCGCGUAGGCGGACCAGAAAGUUGGAGGUGAAAUCCCAGGGCUCAACCUUGGAACUGCCUUCAAAACUCCUGGUCUGGAGUUCGAGAGAGGUGAGUGGAAUUCCGAGUGUAGAGGUGAAAUUCGUAGAUAUUCGGAGGAACACCAGUGGCGAAGGCGGCUCACUGACUCGAUACUGACGCUGAGGUGCGAAAGCGUGGGGAGCAAACAGGAUUAGAUACCCUAGUAGUCC